GAGACAGUAAGCAGACAAAUACUUUAGAAUGUGACAUAGUCAUAUCCCAAGUUCAUGUGUUAAUUUGAGAGAGAAAGAGGGAGAGAGAGAGAGAGAGAGAGAGAGAGAGAGAGAGAGAGAGAGAGAAUGAGAAUACACCAGGGAUUGGAACCCCCCAAAAUGAACAGCAUUUUUUUUUGAUGUUUCAAAAACUUACAUAAUAAAAUCCAUCUUCAUCGAUUUCACCAAAAACAGUAAUAAUGUCUCCUGUGCAAAAUGGAAGUUCAGCCUGCAAAGACAGAAGACAGAGCCAAGAGCAGAUUGCAACAGAAGACCGAGCUAAGAGCAGAUUGCAACAAGGAUGAUGUGUGGACUCCAGGGUGGAACCCCAGGGCAGCUGUGAGGCCCCACUUUGGAUUUAGCUGGGGUUUGCAAGAAGAACUUAGUCCCCUGUCACGGGACCUGGUUAAUGAAGUUUCAGCUAUACAAACGUCCCAGGGAUUGCAUCUUCUGGAUGCGGCUUUGAUGAGCAUUUGCCGUCUGUGAGUUCUCUGUGCUUCUUCGGGUUGUAUUAUGUGGCUUCUCUGUAGACUGCAAGACCUCUGUGGUCAGGAGUGGAGUAUGAAGCUGAGGAUGGAGGCCUAGGGUCAGCUUCCCCUGGGAAAUGCCAGCUAAGUCUUCCAGGGCGCAAAGGGAUGCCCUGGCUCAGGAACAGCUUAUGCACCUGUUUCUUGGGAAGCCCAGUUGUGUCACGUGAUGUUUUUCUGGACGCUGUCUCGUGAGAGGAUGUUUUGCUGAAGUGGACACAUGAAAGAGCAUGUGAUGUUUUGCCGAAGCAGACACUUGGGAGGGUGUGUGCUACGGAAGUGCAAUGCCUCGCUGGACUUCGCUGGUCUUCAUUUCGUAGACGGAAACGCACCAAAAAUCUUCUUAGAGUAUUCCAGCUGAUUCUGACCGUUUCUGCUGACCUGUGCUGAUUGACUGGAACCUUGAAGUUUCUGCUGGAUCAUGCUGAUGCUACUGAUGCACAUUCGAUGUUUGCUAUUGAAUUGGACUGCUGGUAUCUUGACAACGAAGGGUGAAAUCGCCCCCAUCGAACUACUAAACAGGUCUACAGCUCCCUUUUCCUAUCAACCUUGUCCUUUCCCAAGUGACAAGUAGCUCUGGUCCCUGCGUUAGUAGGGAGCUUGGAGCACUUCAGAACCCAAAAUAAAGUAGAUUUUGAAAAUG